GGUUAAGCGACUAAGCGUACACGGUGGAUGCCCUGGCAGUCAGAGGCGAUGAAGGACGUGCUAAUCUGCGAUAAGCGUCGGUAAGGUGAUAUGAACCGUUAUAACCGGCGAUUUCCGAAUGGGGAAACCCAGUGUGUUUCGACACACUAUCAUUAACUGAAUCCAUAGGUUAAUGAGGCGAACCGGGGGAACUGAAACAUCUAAGUACCCCGAGGAAAAGAAAUCAACCGAGAUUCCCCCAGUAGCGGCGAGCGAACGGGGAGGAGCCCAGAGCCUGAAUCAGUGUGUGUGUUAGUGGAAGCGUCUGGAAAGGCGCGCGAUACAGGGUGACAGCCCCGUACACAAAAAUGCACAUGCUGUGAGCUCGAUGAGUAGGGCGGGACACGUGGUAUCCUGUCUGAAUAUGGGGGGACCAUCCUCCAAGGCUAAAUACUCCUGACUGACCGAUAGUGAACCAGUACCGUGAGGGAAAGGCGAAAAGAACCCCGGCGAGGGGAGUGAAAAAGAACCUGAAACCGUGUACGUACAAGCAGUGGGAGCCUCUUAAUGGGGUGACUGCGUACCUUUUGUAUAAUGGGUCAGCGACUUAUAUUCUGUAGCAAGGUUAACCGAAUAGGGGAGCCGAAGGGAAACCGAGUCUUAACUGGGCGUUAAGUUGCAGGGUAUAGACCCGAAACCCGGUGAUCUAGCCAUGGGCAGGUUGAAGGUUGGGUAACACUAACUGGAGGACCGAACCGACUAAUGUUGAAAAAUUAGCGGAUGACUUGUGGCUGGGGGUGAAAGGCCAAUCAAACCGGGAGAUAGCUGGUUCUCCCCGAAAGCUAUUUAGGUAGCGCCUCGUGAAUUCAUCUCCGGGGGUAGAGCACUGUUUCGGCAAGGGGGUCAUCCCGACUUACCAACCCGAUGCAAACUGCGAAUACCGGAGAAUGUUAUCACGGGAGACACACGGCGGGUGCUAACGUCCGUCGUGAAGAGGGAAACAACCCAGACCGCCAGCUAAGGUCCCAAAGUCAUGGUUAAGUGGGAAACGAUGUGGGAAGGCCCAGACAGCCAGGAUGUUGGCUUAGAAGCAGCCAUCAUUUAAAGAAAGCGUAAUAGCUCACUGGUCGAGUCGGCCUGCGCGGAAGAUGUAACGGGGCUAAACCAUGCACCGAAGCUGCGGCAGCGACACUAUGUGUUGUUGGGUAGGGGAGCGUUCUGUAAGCCUGUGAAGGUGGCCUGUGAGGGUUGCUGGAGGUAUCAGAAGUGCGAAUGCUGACAUAAGUAACGAUAAAGCGGGUGAAAAGCCCGCUCGCCGGAAGACCAAGGGUUCCUGUCCAACGUUAAUCGGGGCAGGGUGAGUCGACCCCUAAGGCGAGGCCGAAAGGCGUAGUCGAUGGGAAACAGGUUAAUAUUCCUGUACUUGGUGUUACUGCGAAGGGGGGACGGAGAAGGCUAUGUUGGCCGGGCGACGGUUGUCCCGGUUUAAGCGUGUAGGCUGGUUUUCCAGGCAAAUCCGGAAAACCAAGGCUGAGGCGUGAUGACGAGGCACUACGGUGCUGAAGUGACAAAUGCCCUGCUUCCAGGAAAAGCCUCUAAGCAUCAGGUAACAUCAAAUCGUACCCCAAACCGACACAGGUGGUCAGGUAGAGAAUACCAAGGCGCUUGAGAGAACUCGGGUGAAGGAACUAGGCAAAAUGGUGCCGUAACUUCGGGAGAAGGCACGCUGAUAUGUAGGUGAAGCGACUUGCUCGUGGAGCUGAAAUCAGUCGAAGAUACCAGCUGGCUGCAACUGUUUAUUAAAAACACAGCACUGUGCAAACACGAAAGUGGACGUAUACGGUGUGACGCCUGCCCGGUGCCGGAAGGUUAAUUGAUGGGGUUAGCGGUAACGCGAAGCUCUUGAUCGAAGCCCCGGUAAACGGCGGCCGUAACUAUAACGGUCCUAAGGUAGCGAAAUUCCUUGUCGGGUAAGUUCCGACCUGCACGAAUGGCGUAAUGAUGGCCAGGCUGUCUCCACCCGAGACUCAGUGAAAUUGAACUCGCUGUGAAGAUGCAGUGUACCCGCGGCAAGACGGAAAGACCCCGUGAACCUUUACUAUAGCUUGACACUGAACAUUGAGCCUUGAUGUGUAGGAUAGGUGGGAGGCUUUGAAGUGUGGACGCCAGUCUGCAUGGAGCCGACCUUGAAAUACCACCCUUUAAUGUUUGAUGUUCUAACGUUGGCCCCUAAUCGGGGUUGCGGACAGUGUCUGGUGGGUAGUUUGACUGGGGCGGUCUCCUCCUAAAGAGUAACGGAGGAGCACGAAGGUUGGCUAAUCCUGGUCGGACAUCAGGAGGUUAGUGCAAUGGCAUAAGCCAGCUUGACUGCGAGCGUGACGGCGCGAGCAGGUGCGAAAGCAGGUCAUAGUGAUCCGGUGGUUCUGAAUGGAAGGGCCAUCGCUCAACGGAUAAAAGGUACUCCGGGGAUAACAGGCUGAUACCGCCCAAGAGUUCAUAUCGACGGCGGUGUUUGGCACCUCGAUGUCGGCUCAUCACAUCCUGGGGCUGAAGUAGGUCCCAAGGGUAUGGCUGUUCGCCAUUUAAAGUGGUACGCGAGCUGGGUUUAGAACGUCGUGAGACAGUUCGGUCCCUAUCUGCCGUGGGCGCUGGAGAACUGAGGGGGGCUGCUCCUAGUACGAGAGGACCGGAGUGGACGUAUCACUGGUGUUCGGGUUGUCAUGCCAAUGGCACUGCCCGGUAGCUAAAUGCGGAAGAGAUAAGUGCUGAAAGCAUCUAAGCACGAAACUUGCCCCGAGAUGAGUUCUCCCUGAGACUUAGAGUCUCCUGAAGGAACGUUGAAGACGACGACGUUGAUAGGCCGGGUGUGUAAGCGCAGCGAUGCGUUGAGCUAACCGGUACUAAUGAACCGUGAGGCUUAACCUU
rnacentral:rRNA from 1 species